AGUGGCCCGGAUAAUUAUGGCUACCCUCAAAGCGUCUGCGUUGCUGCGGAGCCUCCAGACAAAUUCUUGCGGCACGGGGCGGGUUUGUUUCCCGGUUCGCGCUCGGCCCCGGCCCCGCGCCCUGCUCCAGCCUCUGCCCGGGGCCAGUGGGACGGGAACACUAUGCCGUGGGCUCGGCUCCGAGUCCGAAUCUGGCAACUCAGAGAUCAGGAAGCCUACAUUUAUGGAUGAGGAGGUCCAAAACAUACUCAUCAAGAUGACGGGCUUGGAUUUGCAGAAGAUUUUUAAGCCAGCUUUACAAGAACUGAAGCCACCAACUUAUAAGCUAAUGACCCAAGCACAGCUGGAAGAGGCUACAAAACAGGCAGUAGAGGCAGCUAAAGUCCGAUUAAAAAUGCCACCAGUUCUGGAAGAGCGGGCUCCAAUAAAUGAUGUGUUAGCUGAAGAUAAGAUUUUGGAAGGAACAGAAACAGCCAAAUAUGUGUUUACUGAUAUAUCAUACAGCAUACCACACCGGAAUUUCUGACUGGGUGAGACCUGGCAGAUACAGCAGAAAGAAGAAGGAAAAUGCAUCACAUCAUCAUGUCACCAUUUCCCUUCAGAUUGUGGACACAGUCUGUUCCAGAUUGACUGCAGAGAAAAGGAGCGUUUUAUUGUCGUCAGAGAACCAAGUGGCACACUGCGCAAAGCCUCUUGGGAAGAACGAGACCGAAUGAUUCAAGUUUAUUUCCCAAGAGAAGGUCGUAGAAUUUUAACACCAGUAAUUUUCAAGGAAGAAAAUCUUCAGACCAUGUACAGCCAGGACCAGCAUGUUGAUGUCCUCAAUCUCUGCGUUGCCCAAUUUGAGCCAGAUUCUGCUGAAUAUAUCAAAAUUCAUCAUCACACCUAUGAAGAUAUAGAUAAAUGUGGAAAGUAUGACCUUUUACGUUCAACAAGACACUUUGGUGGAAUGGCUUGGUAUUUUGUAAAUAAGAAAAAGAUUGAUGGCUUACUGAUUGACCAGAUUCAGAGAGAUUUAGUCAGUGAUGCCACCAGCUUGGUCCACCUCUAUCACAUCCUCCAUCCAGACGGUCAGUCAGCUCAAGAGGCCAAAAAGCAGGGUGCUGAGGGAUUACAUUUAAUUAAGGUCUUUGCAAAAACAGAAGCACAGAAGGGAGCAUAUAUAGAAUUAACACUGCAAGCUUAUCAAGAAGCAUUCAUUACCCAUUCUGCAGCUUCCUAAAAAUAUUUUUCUUUUUUCAGCUGUGCCUACAGCAUAUGGAAGUUCUUGGGCUAGGGAUCGAAUCUGAGCUGCAGCUACAACCCAUGCCACAGCUGGAGCAACACGGGAUCCCUAACCCACUGCACCAGGCUGGGGGUUGAACCUGCACUGUCUCAGAGACAAUGCCAGAUUCCCUAAACUCACUGCACCACAGCGGGAACUCCCUACAUUUUAAAAAUAAAUUUCAUCUUACUAAAUACUAACUUCUCUGUUACUAUUAUUAAGCUAUUUAAAAGUUUCAAAAUCGGUAGUUCCCAAUAAAAUUUUGUUUUUUAAAUUCAAAAAUACAAAGAAAAAUUUGCUAUUCCACUUACUUUCCUAGGCUAUGAGGGGACAAUUGAAAAGUAUAUUUGAGUGCUUGAUUAUGAAUUUCUCUAAUCAUGUCAGAUGAAUACAGUAUAAAAUUAAAGAAAAACAACAACAAAAAAAUACUAUGCCUUUCUGUGUUACCAAAUGGGCCAAUUGGUAAUUUAAAUAGAGCCCACCUUAAUGAGGUCAGAGGAGCCAGGGUUUCAGACCCUGAUUCCAGAAACAGGUACCUACCACACAAAAUCAGGGUAAGGCAUAAGAAGGCUGCACAGACUAAGGGGAAUAAUGCAGUGACAUCAAGGAAAGGGGGUUAGAAAACUAUAGCAUGGAUAUUCAGUUCUAGGAAAAAUGUGACUGGUGAUAUUUGAAAAUAGUUAUUCAAAGAAAAGAGAAUGUGGACUGGUCCCUAGGUGAGGUGUAGUUUUGGCUCAGCUUUCUAAAACUAGAGUUGUAUUUUCUUUAUGCAGAAAGGAAACUAUGAAGUAUCUUCAUUAGUUCAAAAGAUUUUAUGAGAUGUGGUCUAAUGAUAGUACGAAAAAAAUCAAAGCCCACAGUUGUUUUAGUUAACAAGGAAACAGUGAUUUAGGUGCUGGGCAUAAACUUCUCUGAAGAUAAGGAGGGCACUGUGCUCCUGUGUGGGCCACAGCAUUUACAUAUAAAAAUCUAUGGAGUUUCUGAGUCCAAAGCACUGUGGUCAGAGCAAUGAUCAAUACCUGUCCAUUAUAAUAAUAAUCUGUUUAGUUGGGUAAAUGGGAAACAUUACGUUCAAUCAUCCAAAAUAUCUUCAUCCAGGUUGAUAUCUGUUGUGUCAAUGUCUUCUAAUUCCAAAUUAUCCAAAUCUACUUCCAGUUCAAGUAAACUCUGCUAAGAAAAGGAAAAGGGCGAGUUACACAAUACCGUGUUAAAGAAAUUAUGUGAUUCAUGAUGCAAAGAGAACUAGAACAGUAGUCGACAGAGGCAUCUUCCCAUUUCAAAGCCCCUGCCCUGGGACUGAUUACAUCACUUAAAAUGCAGGGGCCUGUCCCACCCCCACAUUCUCAGGGAGGGAGAAUGAGGCUGGGGCUGGCCAGGAAGUUCAGGUAUGAUGUCUGUACCUUUUCUUCUUUGUUGCCUGUGUGGGUGGCCAUAAUAACAGGAGUAGGAGAAGCAGGUUUCCCAGCAAGUUCCUGAAAACCCAAGUGGAGAUAGUAUAAAGACAAAGGAAUUUGUUAGAGAAUUUGAAGUUUUUCCCCAAAGGAAAGGCUGAUUACGGUUAGGAAGUGGGAGAUGGCACUUAAAAACUACAAAUCUCAGGCAGACUGUCUUGUAGUAUUCUACUGACCUGCUGAGCUGCAGAUCUUGACGGCUGGAAGCCUUUUGCCUCUUCCAUAACAUUUCUUUCUUCAUUUGGCUGUAGAGAGUAAAGCAAUGAUGAAAUGAAAUAUUCAGAAGGCAUAGUUCAUCUAUGAACAUAGCCCAAAUCCUAGAUAUUAGCUCUUAAUCAAACAAUACUUAUGGGGUACAGUUCACAACCUUAAGUCCUGAAUGUACUCCUACCCAAAGUCCCCAGAAUGAGGCACACAGGCACUCACCGUGACCAGUGGGUAUUGUUUGGCCGGCCACAGGUCAGCAUGUGUUUCCUUCACCCAUUCUUCCACAACAAAGGCUUCUUUUAAUCCAGGAAAGAGGUUUUCAUAUUCUGUUGGAUCAGCAAGGGAUUCGGCUGCUUUCUGAUUGACUUUUGAGAGAUUUUCUCUCCAGAGUUUCACCACCCUAUUAUAGAUAUCAUGGAGCCAAAGGGAGACUGGAUGAGUGCUCUGUUUUUCUCUGAAUCAUUUCUUCCUAAAAUGAAAAGUUUGUACCUUGAAACCUGACUGGGUAAGUAAGUCCGUGCCAAGAAGGCAGCUUCUGGCAGUCGUCCAGUUCUAAUCAAGAGCUCCAGGCAAGCAUCAAGCCUAAACAUUCAAAAGGAGAGGCACUGUUAGCAAGAAUAAAUGCUAUAAUGAUGGCACUUAACACACUGAAGAAAUGUGGAUUUAGUGCUGCAAAGUCAGCACUCCCUCUCCAACUUCCACACAUAGGCCUCUUUUCUGUCACUGAGCCAUUAACUUGUCCUCACCAGUUUGUUUCAUAAUCAUGGACUCUGGGACUGUGAGAGGUAGGACAGCUUUUGAGACAAUGUUCCAUCUCCUUAACUUUGCUAAGACUGUAAAGGGGAUUUUUUAAGACAAGGCAGUUUUGAUGAGCACAUUUAGAGCUGGGGCAACAGAGGAGCAGAAACUCAGUUUCACAAGUACAGUACUGAGGGCGGCUUCUUAAUUAACAUGGACUGUGCUGGACGACAAUGGUGCCCAGUAAGAAAAUAUCCGAGUGUCCAUUUUCUAAUUUUGAUUUUUUCCUGUGUAAGUUUCAUAAAGUAGAUAAUGUGCUUUAGAAGUCAGAACUUUUUGGACUUUAAAAAAGGUAAUACCGUAUAUAACAUCCUCAGCAUCAAAGUCGCAAACAUUAAUAAAUGUUUGUGUGUUCUGAAAUAACACAAAUACUAAAUGCAAUGAACACUUACCAAGUGGCGUAAAAGCAACUAAUAAUAAUAUUCAGAGUUCAGGUCAAGUUUUGCUACCAAAUAAAAUUUUCCAAGUGUUUUUGGAUUUUUUAAUUACUGAUAAGAAACCGUGAAACUUAAUUCUUACAGGUAUAUAAAUUUAUGUAUACAUGUUAUAAAAUACAUAUACAAAGUUCUUAUGAUUAAAUGGUUUAAAUAGUAUGUAUGGCAAGUUAAUACUUUCCUGUUUCAUCUCAUAAUAUGGUCAUCUAAUGAAAUCAGAUAUGCACUAACUGCUAGACUUCUGAGAAUAUCAUUUUUAUGUUUACAGCUGGACUCAAAUCUGAAAGAAACUGGCAUCCUCAUCCCCUUUAUUUUUGUUAAAUAUAAACAGAUCAGAAUUAUUCAAUUUGGGUAAUAAAGUCUCCUGCCAUUCAGUUACCAAAUGAAGCAAGCAGCCCCAACAGCCUCCUGCUGUCAUUAAAUAAAAUACCUUAGCCAGUAAGUGGCAGGGCUGCUGAAAACGGGGUUUAACAUUUCUCCCAGCUGAGCCCUGAAGAGCUCACUCUGCUCAAACGCUGAGACCAGAUGUAUAAAGGGCAUCCUUUGCUGAAGGUGAGUGCUACCGAGGAGUCCAGACUGCUCCCACAAACACCACCACCUGGCCAGCCCUUAGAGUUCUCCAGAGUGCCUUCUUUGUGUUCCUCUCCAAAGACCACUCUCACCUUGGACUAAUACUUACUUGCCCUGUAAAAAGUAGCUCAUGAAUGCCACAUUAUUCUUGCCGUCUCGCUCUGCACCCUCUGCUAGCUUGUUCACCAUGCUAGCAUUUCCAGAGGCAGUGGCCAAAAGCAACAGACCCCCAUAGUCCUGUGCAUGGUGCAGGCACUCCUGGGCCAGGCCAAACUGGCAUUUACUGAUGGCAAGUUCAGCAAGUUGUUUCCACUUCUGUUCUGACUGUAAGAAAAAUUUCUGAGUUAAAAUACCUUUUAAAUAAACAUUAACAUUUCCUGUA